rfam:Fimbriiglobus ruber strain SP5 contig01, whole genome shotgun sequence.
GCCGGGGUAGCUCAGCGGUUAGAGCAAUCGCUUCAUAAGCGAUGGGUCGCCGGUUCAAGUCCGGCCCUCGGUA